rnacentral:rRNA from 1 species
AACGAACGCUGGCGGCAUGCCUAACACAUGCAAGUCGAACGAGACCUUCGGGACUGGUUGCGCUCAGGUGCGUCACGCGUCGGAACCUGCCCUUAGACUCGGAAUACCUCUCCGACAUGGGUGCUAAUACCGGAAAAUGUCUUCGGACCAAAGAUUUGUCGUCUUUGGUUGAGCCGGCGUUGUUUUAGCUUGUUGGGAGUGUAAGAGCCUACCACGGCGACGCUCCAUAGCUGGUCUGAGAGGAUGGUCAGCCACACUGGGACUGAGACACGGCCCAGACUCUUACGGGAGGGAGCAGUGGGGAAUACAGGAAAAUGGGGGAAAGCCUGAUGGAGUAAGGGCGGGUGAGUCAUGAAGUUGUGAGGGUAGUAAAGCUCUUUUAUCCGGGACGAUAAUGACAGUACCGGGAGAAUAAGCUCCGGCUAACUUCGUG